rnacentral:rRNA from 1 species
GCAAGUCGAGGGGUAACAGGGAAAAGCUUGCUUUUUUGCUGACGACCGGCGCACGGGUGAGUAACGCGUAUGCAACCUACCUAUUACUGGGAGAUAGCCCAAGGAAACUUGGAUUAAUACCCCAUGGUACUAUAAAGCAACCUUGUUUAAUAGUUAAAGAUUUAUCGGUAAUAGAUGGGCAUGCGUGACAUUAGCUAGUUGGUAAGGUAACGGCUUACCAAGGCUACGAUGUCUAGGGGACCUGAGAGGGUGAUC